UACAGAGGGUGCGAGCGUUAAUCGGAAUUACUGGGCGUAAAGCGUGCGUAGACGGUUUCGUAAGUCGGGUGUGAAAGCCCCGGGCUCAACCUGGGAAUUGCAUUCGAGACUGCGUAGCUAGGGUGCGGAAGAGGGAAGCGGAAUUUCCGGUGUAGCGGUGAAAUGCGUAGAUAUCGGAAGGAACACCGGUGGCGAAGGCGGCAUCCUGGACCAACACUGACGCUGAGGAGCGAAAGCCAGGGGAGCAAACGGG
rnacentral:rRNA from 1 species